GGAGCCUCCAGCCAACACUUCCACGCCAGAGUGUUGACCCUUGUGGUUUGAUCGAGCCCGGAAACCAGAUCAAGUCCGGGAUCAGUCAAGCCCGCUAGCAGGGAUCCGGAUCUCCUCUCCCUGGGUGUCCUGACGCAGCGAGCAUCACCAAGUCAGCUUCCCUCUCCCUCUGCUUCCCCGAGCAGACAUUCUUCGGACCCCAGCCCAGCCCCGACGCUUCUGACCUGCCUGCUGUUUAUGGUUUCUCCAACUCGUACCACAUUAUUUCGUUUGUAAAUAAAACCCUUAAUCUUCA